rnacentral:lncRNA from 1 species
AAAUUACAUCAUAACAUAGAUAUUGUGUUCAUAUAUAAAACUCUGGAAGUAUCUGGUCAUUAAUACCUUUGAUGACUAUCAGCCAUCAAAACUCGAAACCGCUGAUAUUUGCUGAGCAUCUUGGGAAAGACUUGCAAAUAUAUCAUUUCGUCACUAGGGCGUUUCUCCUGGCCUGCGAAAGGCUCAGUAACUGCUGAUGGGCCUCCUUUGUCCGGUUGCUGUGGGUCCGCCACGAUCCGUCUUCCGAUAGGGCGGAAGCUUCACUGUGCAUAGCCUCGCGCUUUUUACCCCUAAGCCCUUCAGCAAAACUGUGCCCUAAAACUAACCAUUUUCCCACGUGGGUAGUCUGCUUCCAGAACUACCACUACCCGCUCUUCCCCAAGCCCCAAGUGACCAAACCCAAACAAAACAGGCAAGCAGCCCCACCAGGCCAGAGCAAGGCUAAAUACCCGGGCAACUUUGAUACUUCUGAGGAUUUAAGAGUUGACAGGGUCAGAAGGCAAAAAACAAGUCCUUCAAAGAACUUCUCCAGCCUUGGAAAUCAGCUUCUCUGAAUGCAGGAUCUUUCACCUGUUGCCCCAUGAAAUCCCCAAGAUAACGUCUCAUUUCAAAAAAAGGUAAUACUUUAAAAUGGAGCAGUCUCAGCUGGACAGUGGUUGUGGUGUGUGCAUUUAAGCACAGCACUUGGGAACAGAGGUAGGCAGAUCUCUGAGUUUGAGGCCAGCCUUGUCUGCAAAGAGAUUUUCGUGACAGCCAGGGUGACACAGGGAGAAGACUCUGGAACUGUGGGGUAGUUUCAACCCCAUUUCCCUAAGUCCAAGCUUGGUAAACCAUCCCCCCCACGCCCCCACCAGGAUCAGUGUUUUUAAUAGAAGAGCCGUACUAGAACCUGAGGGCAUUAGAAUGUCAGAUCCAAUUUAUUCCUGAUGAAAUAUCUUCCUCAUGGUGCAAACAACCCCCUUAGGACCCUGGGAAAGCAGAAUUGCAGAUAAUAUGGUACAGACAGGUACUCAAUAAACAGGUUGAAGGAAUGAAUGUGUAAAUGAAG